rnacentral:rRNA from 1 species
UGUUUCGGCUAGGGGGCCAUCCCGGCUUACCAACCCGAUGCAAACUGCGAAUACCGGAGAAUGUUAUCACGGGAGACACACGGCGGGUGCUAACGUCCGUCGUGAAGAGGGAAACAACCCAGACCGCCAGCUAAGGUCCCAAAGUCAUGGUUAAGUGGGAAACGAUGUGGGAAGGCCCAGACAGCCAGGAUGUUGGCUUAGAAGCAGCCAUCAUUUAAAGAAAGCGUAAUAGCUCACUGGUCGAGUCGGCCUGCGCGGAAGAUGUAACGGGGCUAAACCAUGCACCGAAGCUGCGGCAGCGACACUUUAGUGUUGUUGGGUAGGGGAGCGUUCUGUAAGCCGUUGAAGGUGUCCUGUGAGGGGUGCUGGAGGUAUCAGAAGUGCGAAUGCUGACAUAAGUAACGAUAAAGCGGGUGAAAAGCCCGCUCGCCGGAAGACCAAGGGUUCCUGUCCAACGUUAAUCGGGGCAGGGUGAGUCGACCCCUAAGGCGAGGCCGAAAGGCGUAGUCGAUGGGAAACGGGUUAAUAUUCCCGUACUUGGUGUUACUGCGAAGGGGGGACGGAGAAGGCUAUGUUGGCCGGGCGACGGUUGUCCCGGUUUAAGCGUGUAGGUGUGUGUUCCAGGUAAAUCCGGUUCACUUUAACACUGAGGCGUGAUGACGAGGCACCACGGUGCUGAAGCAACAAAUGCCCUGCUUCCAGGAAAAGCCUCUAAGCAUCAGGUAACAUCAAAUCGUACCCCAAACCGACACAGGUGGUCAGGUAGAGAAUACCAAGGCGCUUGAGAGAACUCGGGUGAAGGAACUAGGCAAAAUGGUGCCGUAACUUCGGGAGAAGGCACGCUGACACGUAGGUGAAGUGAUUUACUCAUGGAGCUGAAGUCAGUCGAAGAUACCAGCUGGCUGCAACUGUUUAUUAAAAACACAGCACUGUGCAAACACGAAAGUGGACGUAUACGGUGUGACGCCUGCCCGGUGCCGGAAGGUUAAUUGAUGGGGUCAGCGCAAGCGAAGCUCCUGAUCGAAGCCCCGGUAAACGGCGGCCGUAACUAUAACGGUCCUAAGGUAGCGAAAUUCCUUGUCGGGUAAGUUCCGACCUGCACGAAUGGCGUAAUGAUGGCCAGGCUGUCUCCACCCGAGACUCAGUGAAAUUGAACUCGCUGUGAAGAUGCAGUGUACCCGCGGCAAGACGGAAAGACCCCGUGAACCUUUACUAUAGCUUGACACUGAACAUUGAGCCUUGAUGUGUAGGAUAGGUGGGAGGCUUUGAAGCGUGGACGCCAGUCUGCGUGGAGCCGACCUUGAAAUACCACCCUUUAAUGUUUGAUGUUCUAACGUGGACCCGUAAUCCGGGUUGCGGACAGUGUCUGGUGGGUAGUUUGACUGGGGCGGUCUCCUCCUAAAGAGUAACGGAGGAGCACGAAGGUUGGCUAAUCCUGGUCGGACAUCAGGAGGUUAGUGCAAUGGCAUAAGCCAGCUUGACUGCGAGCGUGACGGCGCGAGCAGGUGCGAAAGCAGGUCAUAGUGAUCCGGUGGUUCUGAAUGGAAGGGCCAUCGCUCAACGGAUAAAAGGUACUCCGGGGAUAACAGGCUGAUACCGCCCAAGAGUUCAUAUCGACGGCGGUGUUUGGCACCUCGAUGUCGGCUCAUCACAUCCUGGGGCUGAAGUAGGUCCCAAGGGUAUGGCUGUUCGCCAUUUAAAGUGGUACGCGAGCUGGGUUUAGAACGUCGUGAGACAGUUCGGUCC